rnacentral:lncRNA from 1 species
CAGCUGCAGGGCCUCAAGUUGUUCUAGAGCUGGGCUGGCAGGGCCCUUGGCUGAGGGAGUAUAGCCUGGCACUGGCAUCUUGGCCUGCAGCCAAGUUUCCUGUCUGCCCAGGCAGCACGACCCUUGGGAUCAGGCAGAGCUGUGCCUCUCCCCUCUUGACCUUGGAAGAUCCUGCCCUCACACACGAUUGUCCAGUGUCGUGAAGGCCGGUCUAAUUGAAGCCAACGGAGAACUCAAGGUCUUCAUAGACCAGAACCUUAGUCCCGGAAAAGGUAAGGGCACCUGUUCUGGACACACUUGUGUUGAUGAAUGCGUGAAGCUUCACGUGUUUAUGAAGCUGUUGACGUUGAAGCCUCUUGCUAAUGAUGGCAUCUCCUGCACGGGCACCUUUGUGCUCUGAGAAUCCAGGAGGGUGGGCGUAGGGGCCUUCUAAUAUUUAGAAACAGCCUGCACACCACACCAGAAGCUUUGUGGAUUUUGAAUUCUAAGGUGUGUAUACUAUUUGCAAACAUUUAGAAAAAGGUAGAAUAAUGUAAAGAAGAAAUAAAGACAAUUUGUUUUCCCGCCACCCAAAGAUAAUGACGUCUCAGCAGUGGUGUGGGCUCUUCCAGAAGCCAGACUCACCUGUGCU